UGUAGUUCAGUGGUAGAACAUUUACUUUAUAUUUAUGAAAUCCAGGGUUUGAUUCCCAGCA
rnacentral:tRNA from 1 species